GUGGGGAAUAUUGGACAAUGGGCGCAAGCCUGAUCCAGCCAUGCCGCGUGAGUGAUGAAGGCCUUAGGGUUGUAAAGCUCUUUCGUCAGGGAAGAUAAUGACGGUACCUGAAGAAGAAGCCCCGGCUAACUUCGUGCCAGCAGCCGCGGUAAUACGAAGGGGGCUAGCGUUGCUCGGAAUCACUGGGCGUAAAGCGCACGUAGGCGGCUUUCUAAGUCAGGGGUGAAAUCCUGGAGCUCAACUCCAGAACUGCCUUUGAUACUGGAGAGCUUGAGUUCGGGAGAGGUGAGUGGAACUGCGAGUGUAGAGGUGAAAUUCGUAGAUAUUCGCAAGAACACCAGUGGCGAAGGCGGCUCACUGGCCCGAUACUGACGCUGUGGUGCGAAAGCGUGGGGAGCAAACAGGAUUAGAAACCCUUGUAGUCC
rnacentral:rRNA from 1 species